AUUGAACGCUGGCGGCAUGCCUUACACAUGCAAGUCGAACGGUAACAGGUCUUCGGAUGCUGACGAGUGGCGAACGGGUGAGUAAUACAUCGGAACGUGCCUAGUAGUGGGGGAUAACUACUCGAAAGAGUGGCUAAUACCGCAUGAGAUCUACGGAUGAAAGCAGGGGAUCGCAAGACCUUGUGCUACUAGAGCGGCCGAUGGCAGAUUAGGUAGUUGGUGGGAUAAAAGCUUACCAAGCCGACGAUCUGUAGCUGGUCUGAGAGGACGAUCAGCCACACUGGGACCGAGCCACGGCCCAGACUCCUACGGGAGGCAGCAGUGGGGAAUUUUGGACAAUGGGCGAAAGCCUGAUCCAGCAAUGCCGCGUGCAGGAUGAAGGCCUUCGGGUUGUAAACUGCUUUUGUACGGAACGAAAAGCCCCGGGUUAAUACCCUGGGGUCAUGACGGUACCGUAAGAAUAAGCACCGGCUAACUACGUGCCAGCCGCCGCGGUAA
rnacentral:rRNA from 1 species